rnacentral:misc_RNA from 1 species
GGCGUAUUUACAAAGGACACUCGUAAAAUGUAAUUUUACAAACCAUUAGGCAGUGGUUUAAAAAAGAAAGAAAAGAAUGGGAGUUGCUUUUGAGCAAACCAUGGGGGAUCGAUUUGAGCACAGGCAACCAAGAGGAAAAAAAAAAAGAUGCCAAGUAGAGAAUUGGUUGUGAUGUUGUACUCAUUUCUUGUUUUUAGCUUUGAUUGUUACCCUACCAAUUGAGUAUUUACGCGGAAGUUUCCUUCAUGAAAAUGUGAAUCAGAAUUGGAAUAGCUUCAUCCUCUAACCUUCGCUUUUCCUUGCUCAUCAAAUCUUUCUCUCUUCUUCCUAAAGCAAUUAAUACUUUAUAAUCAUGUCUUCUCCCCCAAUUCCAUUUCCACUUAUUGAGAGUGAUCACUCUGCAAAGAGAGAAACGAUGUCGGAUUGGGGACCAGUGUUCGUUGCAGUGGUGCUAUUUAUAAUUUUAACUCCAGGUUUGCUGAUUCAGAUCCCAGGUCGUCACCGAUUCAUCGAGUUCGGAAACUUUCAGACGAGUGGAGUUUCCAUACUGGUUCACUCUAUCCUUUAUUUUUCUCUGAUUUGUAUCUUCUUGUUAGCUGUUGGAGUGCACAUGUAUAUUGGUUCAUAGUCCCUCUUCAAUUUCUUCCACUGUAAUCCGCCUUCAUGUUUGGAAUUCAAUUUCUUGUCUACCAAAUCUCAGGAUUUGUGCUGGUACUAUAAAUUUGCUGUAAGAAUCAAACGUAGGGAUGAUUGUGAUAAUCACUGGUUUUAUGUACUCAAUUUUAUCAAUUUAUCUUAUGCAGUUUUGAGAAAUUAUUAUAUCAACUUACAAUUUUAGCAGUUUUAUAUACUUUUCACUAUUUUUCAAUUUAUAUUUAUAUUUUAUU